rnacentral:rRNA from 1 species
GAUGAACGCUAGCGGCAGGCCUAAUACAUGCAAGUCGAACGGUGUCUUCGGACAUAGUGGCGCACGGGUGCGUAACACGUAUGCAACCUACCUUACAUUGGGGGAUAGCCUUUCGAAAGGGAGAUUAAUACCGCAUAAGACAGUAGCUGGGCAUCCAGCAGCUGUUAAAGAUUUAUCGAUGUAAGCUGGGCAUGCGUCCCAUUAGUUAGUUGGUAAGGUAACGGCUUACCAAGACGAUGAUGGGUAGGGGUCCUGAGAGGGAGAUCCCCCACACUGGUACUGAGACACGGACCAGACUCCUACGGGAGGCAGCAGUGAGGAAUAUUGGUCAAUGGACGCAAGUCUGAACCAGUCAUGCCGCGUGCAGGAAGACGGUCCUAUGGAUUGUAAACUGCUUUUGUACGGGAAGAAACACUCCUACGUGUAGGAGCCUGACGGUACCGUAAGAAUAAGGAUCGGCUAACUCCGUGCCAGCAGCCGCCGUAAGAC